AACGAACGCUGGCGGCAUGCCUAACACAUGCAAGUCGAACGAGACCUUCGGGUCUAGUGGCGCACGGGUGCGUAACGCGUGGGAACCUGCCCUUAGGUUCGGAAUAACUCCCCGAAAGGGGUGCUAAUACCGGAUAAUGUCUUCGGACCAAAGAUUUCUCGCCUUUGGAUGGGCCCGCGUUGGAUUAGCUAGUUGGUAGGGUAAAAGCCUACCAAGGCGACGAUCCAUAGCUGGUCUGAGAGGAUGAUCAGCCACACUGGGACUGAGACACGGCCCAGACUCCUACGGGAGGCAGCAGUGGGGAAUAUUGGACAGUGGGCGAAAGCCUGAUCCAGCAAUGCCGCGUGAGUGAUGAAGGCCUUAGGGUUGUAAAGCUCUUUUACCCGGGAUGAUAAUGACAGUACCGGGAGAAUAAGCUCCGGCUAACUCCGU
rnacentral:rRNA from 1 species